rnacentral:rRNA from 1 species
ACGAACGCUGGCGGCGUGCUUAACACAUGCAAGUCGAACGCUGAAGCACCAGCUUGCUGGUGUGGAUGAGUGGCGAACGGGUGAGUAAUACGUGAGUAACCUGCCCUUGACUCUGGGAUAAGCCCGGGAAACUGGGUCUAAUACUGGAUGCUACAUGUCACCGCAUGGUGGUGUCCGUGGAAAGGGUUUACUGGUCUUGGAUGGGCUCACGGCCUAUCAGCUUGUUGGUGAGGUAAUGGCUCACCAAGGCGACGACGGGUAGCCGGCCUGAGAGGGUGACCGGCCACACUGGGACUGAGACACGGCCCAGACUCCUACGGGAGGCAGCAGUGGGGAAUAUUGCACAAUGGGCGAAAGCCUGAUGCAGCGACGCCGCGUGAG